ensembl:lncRNA
AUUUUUAACAUAGAGUGAACACUCUGUUAUCAUCUCUGCACAUUGUCAACAGCUUACCAACAAAUAACUCUAAGGAUGUGGAAAAUAAAUUUAAUGAAGUUAGGAUAAGUUAAUGCAUUUCACUAGAAAUACAUUAACUCUUCUGGUUCACGUUUGUAAAGGGAUUGAUUUACAGGGAGGUUUGUUGUCAAAAGGAUUUCCAACAUCAAAGAGGCAGAGGAGGAGGAAACCAUUAACAUCAGUUUGGACAGUCAGAUCCAAAUGGACAUCUCUCUCAUCAACUGGAUUUUUUAUUUUACCAGUUGGAUAAAAUGUUAUAUAACUACACACAGUCUGCAGGACGGGUUCAGUGUGAUAGAGACACUCUGGGAGGAAGAAGAGUCAGACUUCAUCUGCACAGAGUCACAGCUCAAGACUCUGGAAAAUGCCCGCUCCUUAAACCAUUAGGAAAACAAAUGGUCGAGCAGAUAAGACUUUUUCCAUUGCUUUUUUCUUGGUGGGGUAGUUAAAGGGUUAACUGCUUACUGUCUGCACUCAUAAACAAAGGUUUACCAUCUUGUCUAUGACAUUAUCUACAGAUGAGUCGGAAGGGAAAAAAAUACUAUGUGCAGUUCUUAAGCCUGAGAAUAUACUUCACAGCUUUCGCAAGUAUUUGUUGACUUUAGCGCUGCAAAAUGUCACAGUUUUGUUUCAUAUUAUCUGUGAUGGCUAACUAAGACAGAGUACAUCCUGGACAGCUCACUAGUUCCCACACGGCUGGCACUUUUCCGCCAGCCGAACGCACAAACACCAACAGCAACAAUAACCAGGACCCAGUGCAGACUUUUUAUGUCGGUGAGGCGUGAUUGCGGAUGCCGUGCAGGUGCAUCCACCUCCCCUGCAGCAGCACCGCAGACCACGCCCCCCCCCACAGGCAUAAAGGUAUAUUUGAUGUUAUUUUGAGAAGUGGUGUAAAUUGACAUUGUGAGCUGUAACAGAACUCUGUAUUUUUAUUUUAUUUAUUUAUUUAUUUAUUUUUACAUUUGUACAUAUGUGAAGAAACUUAAAUAUAACUGUUUGUGUCUCGAAAAGAAACAGCAGAAAUUUAAAUAACUGCUUUAGGUAGUCUGCAUUCAGUCAGUUGUGUUAAUGCUAAACAACAUGUUUUAAAAUAAGAAAAAGAUUAAAGAUUAAAAAGCAGAGAAGCUGACCAGUCUCUGUAACUCCCUCUGUUUUACUGCUUUUAUCAUUUUCAUUUGACUAUUACAGCCAUGUCAUGAUAGUGGUAUGGCAAUUCAAUGCUGUUUUGCAUUUUAAUUUUCGCUGAAGGAGAAUUCAGGACAGAUGAUUUACAGAGCAGGUGCCAGGACAGCUCACCUGGUUGAGUCAGCAGUCUGUGCACUGCAGGCUAAAGCCCAUCUGUGUAGGGGCCCGGGUUGAAGUCUUUCCCAGACCAUUUCCUGUCUGUGGAAAACAACAUUAUACUCACAAUGAUUACCUUGUGUCCAACUGUAAAAGAUUUACUGCAUUAAAUGAAAGUGUGACAUUACGGUUUUACUGAGGUUUUACAGAAAUUUGUUUUAGAUUAUGUAUCAGUUCUUUAUAUCUACUUACUGUAUACUGUCUCUUUCAAUCCUGCAGCUCAACACUAGGAUGGAAUCAGCAUCAAUUCAGCUAAACCCAAGAAAAUUGUUCAAGCAAAAAAAUUGUAACGUCAGCUACAUAUCAGUGAAUCAGAACAAAGACAGCAGCCACAGUCCACCUGAUGAGCAUGUAGCACUUCAAUCUAGUGACAUCCUAUAAUGACACAAUAAAAGCAGUAAAUCACCAAAUGUGUCCAAGCCUUUCAUUUCAUAAUAAGAGUGACAGGAAAUAUAAUGAAUGUCAGCUCACUGUUUAGAUUUAAAACAUUAAGAGACCACAGUGCUACCACUGAAAGUCAUGAGGAUCUGAACUGUAAUCAAACACGUCUGAACUCUCUGCUGUUCAAACCACGAGGGCGUGUCAGCACCUGGAGUCAAAGCAUAAAAAUCCACAGAGGUCACACAGAAGAAAGUGAGCCGCAGACUGAAGCAUGGUGGUGAUCAGCUGUUGGGAGAAGAUGAUCUGCAGGAUCCUGCUGCUCAUCAUCCUCACCUCAUGUGUCUCUGGAUCAUUUGUAGUCAAUGUGACACAGACCUCCUAUCAGGCAGAGGAGAACCACAACAUCACACUGGAGUGGACGUUCACCACCAAACCUGACAGAUCCACAAACUCUGCUUCCAUCAUGUGUCAACACAUGACUAAUUAUAAAACCUUUGGUGUUGAGGUGUCAGCAUCUUCAACUGUCCAGACUCAGGACUGAUGACUCUGGUCUGUACCUGUGUGAGGUGAACACUGAUCAUGGUGCUGGUAAUGAGAGCAGUCACCUCAGCGUCACACGUAAAUUACUAAGGAGUAUUUGUUUUAUUUUUAUUUUUUUCCUUUUUUCUUCUUUAAAUAUGAUUUCACCACUGAGGAUAUUAAGGGCAUUACUGCCUUUCAUAACAGAUGCAUAAUAUAUUUUUUAAUAGCAACACAUAUCUCUGUUUUACAACAGCAGCUGAUCAACCUCAGAGACCGACACUGAGUCCUCCAGAGAGCUGGAGAAGCAUGAGCUUGUACGUUGGACCGGGGCUGGGAGUAGCUGCUGUAGUUUCCGUGAUUAUUGGAAAGGAGAAAAAGCCACGAAACCCAGCAGGGAGUGCCUCAGAGAGACAACCCAUCAGGACUAAGGGGACUUUUUCUGAAGGACCUGCUUCCUAUGAGGACACAUCAUUUCAGAUGUACUUAUAGACAUGAACCUCUCUCCCAAAAACAUCUGUUUGAAAUGUCAGACAGCAAUUUAUGAUCUAAAACAGAAAACUGUAGUUUUUCUGUUUCAUUAUGUUUGUGCCACACUUGGUUUGACUGUUAUAUAACUCCAGCUGUUUCCCCUGAUGUGUAAAGAAAGAAACGAUGAUCAAACAUUUACUGUUUUAUUAUAAAUUUCAUUACAUCUUUGACAUUCUCAUUUAAUCCCCAUAUUACUGUUUUAAGUAAUGGUAAUGUUAAACUUGUUUUGAAUCCCACUCUAUCUUGUUUUGAGAGAUCAAGGAAUUCUUUCAUGUCCUAACUGACAUGGAUAUGGUUUGGUUAGUGUUGCUUUUUCAUUUUGUUUGAUAUUUAUUGUGUUGCUUAGGGUGUUUUACUGAAGCAGUUUGCAACAUUGGUUUCAAUAAGUGCCAUAAAAUAAUAAUAAUGUUAAUGAUAAUGAUAAUAAUAACAAUAAUAAUAACAACAACAAUAAUAAUAAUAAUGAUAAUAUAUUUGAUUGGAUACAGUGAAGUGGUGAGCUUAUAGCACCAUCAUCUGGCCAAGAGGGUGAAUUUCACUUAGUUCCAUAAGUGGAGGAAAAUACUUAUUUUCAUGGAUAUUUUUCUUUCCCCAUAAAAGCAAAUCAAUCCAUGCCUAAAUUAUUUUGAUGAAGUUCUUGUUGCUGUUAUGCUCCUCCUCUAUAGUGCAUAAAGAACUGUAUGUUGUAUCUUCAUGCAGGAACAACAUCUCAUAUUGAUCUCAGAAUCUAUUUCCAGACAUGAUUUGUGUCCUGCAGGCAGCGUCUUGAAAUCUCAGUGUAGUUCAAAAUUUAGACUGGAUUUAAAACAAGAAGAAAGCAUUGAGCAUGAGACAUGAAAUUCGUCCAGUUCACGAACUCCAGCUCAAAGAAAUCGAGUUCAUCAGCCUGUGUGUGUUGAUUUGAGAAAGAAAUGAAAUAAAAGCAGCAGCAGCAGUUUAGUUUGAGUUUGUCGAAACCACAAGUUACAGAAACCUGCAGCAGAAUUUUAGACAAUGAAAAAUCGAACCAUCUGCUCAGCUCAUGCCUUUCUCUAUGGAAUGUGCAUGUACCAAAGUCUAAUAACAACUGUUGUAUGUGCAUAAAGAAAGGACUAUUUUCUUACUGCAUGUUUGUUAUUGCAAAUCCUGUAAACCACGUCAUUAAUAAAGUUUAUUGUUGUUUGUAAAAACAAAAGGGUCGUGACAGUGUGCUCCUUAAAGGAACACAUACACUUUGAGGAAACAGGAAGCAAAUGAGGUGUGUUAUCUGCCGUAACAAAGUCCAGUCCCUACUGUCAGGAUUAAAUAACAGCACAUUUCCUUCUUUGGUCUUGUUGACUCCAGGCACUUGUUAAAGUUUAACCACUGAAUACAGCUGAUGGGAAAACAGCGUAUUUAUAGGCUAAAUCCUCUGGUGGAUUAAAGGCUGUACAAACUGAAGAGAGCAGAAGUUGUUUUUUGUUUUUUUUAAAGUUCCCAUUUGGUGGCAGGAUGAGUCCAGCUUAGAAAUACAGGACACACAUGGGAGCAUAACCUACAUCAUCAUCCUUUCUGCAGUGAUACAUGAGCACAUAAUAAGCACUUCAUAUCACAAUGAGGCUUUCUGGUACUUCAAACAGACAUUAUGCUGUCUUGGAUUCUUGAACUUCAGGUUUUCUGCCUGAUGCUCUGACGGCUCGUCCGUAUAGAAAUGGCUCCCAUGGCUCCCUCUUAGCCCUGCUUUUAGUUUCUCUUAGUGCAAAUUGACACCACAAAGCUCCUGUUAAACAUUUAAAUAAAAUUUUUGUAUCUUCUCAGCCGAGUAUGACAUCUUAAGGCACAGAAACGAUUAACCAGUAAAACUGCAAGGCCAAGUAAAGCUGUCAGUUCCAGUCCCAGUGCAGUGUAGAGGACCGUCCUCUGCAUCCAGGUGUGUGCUGAUGGAACAGCAGCUGCUGCAAAGGAGAGAAAAAUGAAGAGAGAAUAUUUUGAUAUCAUUGGUAGCUGUUGGCAGCUCCUGUUCUGAAACAUCAUAAAGAAACAACAAAAAACUUUGAUAACAAUUGGAGCAUAAAGAACUCGAUGAACAAUAAGAUUACUGACAGGCCCUGCUGCUCUCUUAUAUAGCAGAAUUGAUAAAUAUGAAGUUAAAGGGAACCAAGUAGUCAACUGUAUAUCAGUACAGUGACAUAUAACCCCUUUAACCUUGGGUGUUGAACUCCAGGCCUCUGGAGAACUGCAAGACAUGUUGAGGAGGUAAUUUAGCCAUUUGAAUCAGCUGUGUUGGGUCAAGGACACAUCUAAAACCUGCAGGACACUGACUCUUGAGGCCUGGAGUUCAACACCUGUGCCUUAAACAUUGGAAAUUAUCAUUUCUACUCUUUAGUCCAGCUUAAAAAAAAGCAAAAAACCUUUAAAGGUUCUGACAUGCAGACACAGUAUCCUUCAGGCAGAAAAAAAUACAGCUAUUUGCAGACUUUAUGCUUUGAGCAUUUGUAUUACUUCGAUCUUUAAGGCAAAGGCAGGAGGAAGUUCAUCUCAUUUUGAAUCUUUAUAAAAACAAUUUGUACUGUUUUUAUAUAUUUAUGCUGUUAUUCAAAUGUAUAUUUAGCAUAAAAACAGAUCCUAUUAUGUUUUUUUUAGGAAAACAAAUAUUCUUUGUUGGUUUCUGAAUGUCUGAAUGGAGAACUGCUUUAACUUUCUUACCGUGUAUGCUGAGUCGACAAUAAUCAAAGCCAUAAUCAUACUCGGUUUUCACCUCACACAGGUACAGACCCGAGUCAUCAGUCCUGAGUCUGGACAGUUGAAGUCUGAUUCGUCCUUCUCUGAGGGCGUCUUUGUCACUCUGGACUCGUCCUGAAAACUUUUCAUCCUGAGACUCUGACACCUCAACAUCAUUGGACACAUGAUAGAAGCCAAAGGUUUUAUAAUUAGUCAUCUGUUGGCAGAUGAUGGAAGCAGAGUUUGUGGAGUUGUCAGGGUUGGUGGUGAACGUCCACUCCAGUGUGAUGUUGUGGUUCUCCUCUGCCUGAUAGGAGGUCUGUGUCACAUUGACUACAAAUGAUCCUGUUGAGGAGACAGAGAGGGAAAGAG